ensembl:lncRNA
CUUCAAUAAAACUCUUUAAGACCCACAGACCUCACACAUGGGUAAUCCAAGAGGCAGCUAGUCAGAAGAGAACUAAGAAAGGAUGCAGCUGAGUACAACAGCAGGAUGUGUUCCUGCUGUUUUGAUUUGGGUCAUGUCACCCACGAGACACACUGUAAGGAUUUCUCCUGCACAGGAUUAGAAGACUGUCAGAGAGAAUUGAAUCUAGUCUUUCCCGUUCUUUUUAGAAUAAAUACACUUAAGCUUUAGAAACAGAGUCCAUUUAAAUUAAAUUAUUAAAUAAGUAAUAGUGUGUAGGAGGUACCCCAACAACAGGAAGACUGUGAAAGUGGCCAGAAUCUAAAAGACGCUGCUGGGAAUCAUUGAUAGAGGUCGUACUUCUUCAGCACAGAUGGGGAAACUGCAUCACCAAUCAGACAGUGUCCCCCAAGUGUCCAAAGCUAGCUAUCAAGCUAGUGACAGCUCUAGAUUUCCUCUCUGUUCUAGAUUUACUCCUCUGUUCUCUGGACCUCAGUUUUGGCAUCUGUCAAAUGGAUUGUUAUGAAACACAAGUAGCAUGAGACAUGUAGAACGGCUCUGAAUUCAGAAUACAGAGGCAACCUGCAGGUUCACUAGGAAGGUAUACCACUUCCUACCCCUCGCACCAGGAGUGGGAGCUGCCAUGCUUCCAAGUUCAGCCAGGUUGACAGGUGACUGUCUGAGCCUCAAACUAAAUGUAGCUAUGAUUAAAACAUACGACUCCCUCAAUCUUGGUGUCUGGGUUGCAAUGGACUAUGUUGGGAUUUAGCUGUGAUCAGAGACAGGCUGGAUGAGGUCCUGCCCUGGGUCUAACAAAGGAAGAUGGAUGCCUGUGCAGCCUCCAACUUUGGGACUUGUAUGUCUUCAAAGUCAUUCAUGAAACAUAAAAAGUCAUUCAUGAAACCUUGUCUUCUGCAAGGUAAGCGGCCGAGGGCCCCACACAGAAGAUGGCCUGUUCCUGGUGGUGUUUAUAAAGGCCCCUCACAUUCCCUACCUUGUCGUCCUGGCUUCCCAGAGGGUCAGAGCCAAGCUGACAUGCAGUUCAUGAGUCUGUUCAACUUGAGAUCAGAUGGACACAGAAACACAGGGGAAGCCAAAUCGCAUGUUUAAACAGUUAAGAGGAAACCAGACUCAGCAAGGAACUGCAACACUGGAUUUAGCUGGGUUCCUGCCAAUCACCAAAUUGCUCCAUAGGAAUUAAUUUUCCAGAAAGGGAAACCCAUGUUGGGGGUUGGGCCGAGCAGUUGAGAUGCGGAGGGGGGAUAAAGGAAUAGAGAGAAGUAAAGUCACAGAAAGAGAAGAAAAUAACUACGGUGGCACAGGCAGAGAGGAAGAACAAAGCAGCAAACAGAACAAAAAAAAAAAAAAGAAAGAAAGAAAAUUAAAAAAAGAAGAAGAAAAGAAAGGAAAUAAAACCAGAGAAAUUGCUCAGAUUUGUAACUCUGGACUGAUAGAAACCACUGCACUUUUCUGCGUUUUUACAAUUCAC